AACGAACGCUGGCGGCAGGCCUAACACAUGCAAGUCGAGCGAGGACUUCGGUCCUAGCGGCGGACGGGUGAGUAACGCGUGGGAACGUGCCCUUUGGUACGGAAUAGCCCCGGGAAACUGGGAGUAAUACCGUAUGGUGUCUUCGGACUAAAGAUUUAUCGCCAAAGGAUCGGCCCGCGUUGGAUUAGGUAGUUGGUGGGGUAAUGGCCUACCAAGCCGACGAUCCAUAGCUGGUUUGAGAGGAUGAUCAGCCACACUGGGACUGAGACACGGCCCAGACUCCUACGGGAGGCAGCAGUGGGGAAUCUUAGACAAUGGGGGCAACCCUGAUCUAGCCAUGCCGCGUGAGUGAUGAAGGCCCUAGGGUUGUAAAGCUCUUUCAGUGGGGAAGAUAAUGACUGUACCCACAGAAGAAGCCCGGCUAACUCCGUGCCAGCAGCCGCGGUAAUGUCAGUG
rnacentral:rRNA from 1 species